rnacentral:lncRNA from 1 species
UUCUGCGGGGGGUGGCAUAGAUGGUAUGAUCCCCUUUGUGUAAAAAAUAAGGCACCUAGUUGCUCACACAUGCUGUUUCCUGUCCCCUCAAGGUGUGGCUCUCCACAAACUACCGGGGUCUCACCCUAAGUACUUAUGGGUGAUGAUUUAAGUGUACUUCAGCAUAGCCCAGUGUGUGUACUGAGCCGGGCGAUGUGACGGGGUUUGCUGUGCCACUUGCUCUGCUUGUGGGUGUGUCCGGACUUCCCCCUACUGAAGGUUAAACUGUGCUGCUUCUUUUACU